CAGUCGCCGCGGGAAUACGUAGGGUGCAAGCGUUAAUCGGAAUUACUGGGCGUAAAGCGUGCGCAGGCGGUUAUAUAAGACAGAUAUGAAAUCCCCGGGCUCAACCUGGGAACUGCAUUUGUGACUGUAUAGCUAGAGUACGGCAGAGGGGGAUGGAAUUCCGCGUGUAGCAGUGAAAUGCGUAGAUAUGCGGAGGAACACCGAUGGCGAAGGCAAUCCCCUGGGCCUGUACUGACGCUCAUGCACGAAAGCGUGGGGAGCAAACAGGAUUAGAGACCCGAGUAGUCCCUGUCCUUAUACC
rnacentral:rRNA from 1 species